AGCUCUUCUAGUUUAUGCAAAAGUUGCUGCAGUUAAAACGCUCCUAUUCGGUGAUUGGGAGUGGCUGCUGGACCCCACUUCGGUGGUGAGUCCGUGUGGCCCUCCUUUUGUGCGGGUACUUGUGCUCGCGCUGGUUACCAUGAUUAAAUUGUAGUGCUCAGAGCAGGCUUACGCAGCUGAACAACUUAGCAUGGGAUAACAAAUCACGACUCUUCGUGGUGUGUUGGAUAUUAUGACGGAGUAAUGAGUAAUAGGGGCGGUUGGGGGCCUUAGUACGAUGCCGUUAGAGGUGAAAUUCCAAGAUCGGCGUCAGACUAACUGAAGCGAAAGCGUUGGCCAAGGACGCUCUCA
rnacentral:rRNA from 1 species